rnacentral:rRNA from 1 species
GACGAACGCUGGCGGCGUGCCUAAUACAUGCAAGUAGAACGCUGAAGAGAGGAGCUUGCUCUUCUUGGAUGAGUUGCGAACGGGUGAGUAACGCGUAGGUAACCUGCCUUGUAGCGGGGGAUAACUAUUGGAAACGAUAGCUAAUACCGCAUAACAAUGGAUGACACAUGUCAUUUAUUUGAAAGGGGCAAUUGCUCCACUACAAGAUGGACCUGCGUUGUAUUAGCUAGUAGGUGAGGUAACGGCUCACCUAGGCGACGAUACAUAGCCGACCUGAGAGGGUGAUCGGCCACACUGGGACUGAGACACGGCCCAGACGCCUACGGGAGGCAGCAGUAGGGAAUCUUCGGCAAUGGGGGCAACCCUGACCGAGCAACGCCGCGUGAGUGAAGAAGGUUUUCGGAUCGUAAAGCUCUGUUGUAAGUCAAGAACGAGUGUGAGAGUGGAAAGUUCACACUGUGACGGUAGCUUACCAGAAAGGGACGGCUAACUACGUG